GUACAAAGGGAUGGAUAUCGAUGAAUCCACGUAGGCUACAUGGCAUCAUCUCCGUCGUAGAAUUCAAUUUCAUUGUACAGGAUCCCUGUUCAAAUUAGACGAAAAUAUAAUUGUGUUGACGAUUGAUGGCUAUUGAAUACAGGAUGUUGCAAAUACGGUGUAGAACGAGCGAAAUGGGAUUUAUUGAGGUUUCUUUCCAGGCAAAUGUCUUCUCUACACAUUUCUUCAACGGGCUAGACGAUACGCAUUCUGACCGUUCGAGUCCUUCGUAACACCAAUCAUCCUUCCCGGCAUCAAACGAACUAAUCUUUGACGACAAGCGAAGAAUCCAGCAUGAGGUCCUCCGUAUCCAAGUGGAACUCCGAAACGUUGGCUGGUACCAACGCAUAUAUCAGCUCCAAAUUCACUUGGAGGCUUGAGUAUGGCCAGCGCCAACAAAUCAGCAGCAACGCAAACGAGCGUCUACAAUGAAACACAUCAAACAUAGAUCCAGUUGUGUCAGGAUAUUGAAAUAGGAUACCAGCAACGUCCUUUGAGCUGGUAUCAACUCGAAAAAUAUCUCCGAUUUCAAGAUCGAGACUCAAAGAAGUAGCACGCGUUGCAAUCACGCUGAUUGUUUGAGGAUGAACUUUGUCAGAAACGAACAGUUUCUUUCUCUUGUUGCUCCUGUGAGCAAGACCCAAAGCCUCGGCCGCCGCAGUACCUUCAUCUAGAAGAGAUGCGUUCGCUACUUCCAUCCCGGUUAAGUCGCAUAUCAUCGUUUGUUGCUGUAGCCGUGUUAAAGUUAGCGAUAAAUUGCAUUCUAAAAAACAUACCAUCCUGGAUUUUCGAAUAUGUUUCUCAUAAUGGUGUGAGGAACGCAACAAUUAUUAUAUCCCAUGCCAAUAUACGAACGCCAUACAUCGUUCUUUUCCGAAAUCUGUGUAAUCAUCUUUAACAAUUCGUAUUCAGCUAAAAUCUUUCAAAAAUCACGUGAAUGCUAAUCUAACCGCACGAGAUUGAUCUCUGACCCCAGAUACAUUCAUUUCACAAUGAAAGGCCAUCUUAUUUAUGGAACAUAAUGAAGCUAAUGCAUAUUUCAACAGAAAAAAAUAUCUCAUUUUUUAACACAAUUAAUUCAUCGACUUAUUAAAAUAUUUAAUGUGCAAAAUUUUCAUAAAUUAUGAAUGAGUAUACUUCAAGAAUGUUUGUUACUCAUCCACUGUGUUCAUUUCAAUAUCAUGGGGUUAUCAGUUUACACGUGUUUCAUAUCUACAGUCGCGUGACUUCACACGUUUCUACGUAUCAUAAUAGUUUCUUUUUCAACCGCUGUAGUAUAUUAUUUCAAAUAAAUUACACAUUUUACUUACUGACUGACUGUUCAAUCUUUAAUUUUUCCUUGUAAAGAAUUUUUGCUGGGACAGCUGCGUUUGUUAAUUCUUUUAAACUCUAUUAAAUUAAUUAAAUAAUUUAUAUGACUAUUUUAUAUGACUAAUUUAAAUGACUAUCUCAAAAUAAUGUUUCUAUUACUAAGUUAAAAUACUACCUUGAACCCAAUAGUUUUCAACAUUUCCAAUUGUUCAUAGUGUCGAGGACCGAUAUGUCUAAUUUGAAAUUCAUCUUUUUGCAGAAAAAGUUCACUAACAUUUUCUUUUUGUAAAUUAUUCAACGUUAAUCUAUAUUCCAGACAACUAAAGAGUAUACUAAAGGAAGCAGAACCUUUAUACCCUAAGACUCAUCAUCUAGUGAUGUCAUAACUUCUGAUUACGGCCUUAUCUUUUGUGACCC